UGAAGCAACGCAAGUUACUGUGUCCUCAGGGUUCAUCCGAGGAAGGAGCUGCUGAGCAGCAUGAGCUCUCAGGCCUGGCAGGAGCCAUUAAUCAUCUCUUUACUUAUUGAUUACGGUUCGGUCAGGUUGCAUUCAUGAUUUAUUCAAUGCGGCCUUCUAAUGAUUCCCAUCUGUUGAUUCCUCCAUCGCUGCCAUGGCAAGAAUAUUUUUUUUCGACAAAUGAUGAUAAUUUAUAAAUCAAGUUUAUUAAUUUUAUACUGACAAAAUUUAAUGAGUAUAAAAGCUUGACAGCUAUGACAUUUCUCAAUAAAAAAAAUGAGAUCUUUUGCUUAUUUUUUGGAAGAUUCCAUUGUUUUUGAGGAUUUGUUGAAAGUUGGUAGUAUGAUGAGCUGCCUGCUUCCUUGGUGAAAUGCUCCCAAUCUGUGACUUUGCUCUGUUCUUAUUUUUCUUAGUGCAGGGAUUAGGGUUUCAGAGAUUAUUUCUGUUCAGUGUUUGUUUCAGCAGAGAUAAUCAAAGGUGAACCAUGGAGAAAAUAAAGAUUUCUGGCUCUGUGAAGGAAGAAUGUAACACAAAAGUUCUGGAAUGCAGCUGUGAUUCUAAUUGUUCUCCUCGUGUUCCAGAUAGCUAUUUAUGGAGGAGCUUUUCGGAAGGGCCGGAUGAUUUGUUAAAUGAGACGCCACGGCUGUCUUACUAUAAUCCUG